AAUUUAACGGCCGCGGUACCCUGACCGUGCAAAGGUAGCAUAAUCAUUUGCCCUAUAAUUGAGGGCUAGUAUGAAUGGUUUGACAAGAGCAAUACUGUCUCCAUAAAAAUUAAUAGAAAUUAUUUUUUAGGUGAAGAAACCUAAAUCAAAUUAAUAGACAAGAAGACCCUAUCGAGCUUUAAAUCCAUUUAAUAAAAUAAAGAAAAUAAAAUAUAUUUCUAAUUAUAAAAAAUUUUGGUUGGGGCGACUAAGGAACACAAAAAGCUUCUUUAUAUAUUUAAAAUUUUUAAAUAGUGAUCCAUUAUUUAGUGAUUAAAAGAAUUAGUUACCGUAGGGAUAACAGCAUAAUCCUUUUUGAGAGUUCAUAUCGAAAAAAGGGUUUGUGACCUCGAUGUUGGACUAGAAUUUCCUGAAAGAUGCAGAAUCUCA
rnacentral:rRNA from 1 species